rnacentral:rRNA from 1 species
GAUGAACGCUGGCGGCGUGCCUAAUACAUGCAAGUCGAGCGAACGGACGAGAAGCUUGCUUCUCUGAUGUUAGCGGCGGACGGGUGAGUAACACGUGGAUAACCUACCUAUAAGACUGGGAUAACUUCGGGAAACCGGAGCUAAUACCGGAUAAUAUUUUGAACCGCAUGGUUCAAAAGUGAAAGACGGUCUUGCUGUCACUUAUAGAUGGAUCCGCGCUGCAUUAGCUAGUUGGUAAGGUAACGGCUUACCAAGGCAACGAUGCAUAGCCGACCUGAGAGGGUGAUCGGCCACACUGGAACUGAGACACGGUCCAGACUCCUACGGGAGGCAGCAGUAGGGAAUCUUCCGCAAAGGGCGAAAGCCUGACGGAGCAACGCCGCGUGAGUGAUGAAGGUCUUCGGAUCGUAAAACUCUGUUAUUAGGGAAGAACAUAUGUGUAAGUAACUGUGCACAUCUUGACGGUACCUAAUCAGAAAGCCACGGCUAACUUCGUG